rnacentral:rRNA from 1 species
AACGAACGCUGGCGGCAUGCCUAACACAUGCAAGUCGAACGAGACCUUCGGGUCUAGUGGCGCACGGGUGCGUAACGCGUGGGAACCUGCCCUUAGGUUCGGAAUAACUCCCCGAAAGGGGUGCUAAUACCGGAUAAUGUCUUCGGACCAAAGAUUUAUCGCCUUUGGAUGGGCCCGCGUUGGAUUAGCUAGUUGGUAGGGUAAAAGCCUACCAAGGCGACGAUCCAUAGCUGGUCUGAGAGGAUGAUCAGCCACACUGGGACUGAGACACGGCCCAGACUCCUACGGGAGGCAGCAGUGGGGAAUAUUGGACAAUGGGCGAAAGCCUGAUCCAGCAAUGCCGCGUGAGUGAUGAAGGCCUUAGGGUUGUAAAGCUCUUUUACCCGGAUGAUAAUGACAGUACCGGGAGAAUAAGCUCCGGCUAACUCCGUG